rnacentral:misc_RNA from 1 species
CUCCCAAAACAGUAUUGGUCAUACACCAUUCUUCAUGCAGUUUAUCUCAUUAAUAGGCUUCCAUAUCCUUUGUUACAUGACAAAACUCCAUAUGAACUUCUUUAUGCUAAAAUACCAAAUUUCACUGACCUUAAAGUCUUUGGCUCACUAUGUUUUGCCUCUACUCUCACUGCACAUAGGACCAAAUUUGAUUAUAGGGCUUGAAAGUGUGUUUUUCUUGGUUAUAAACCACGAACGAAAGGGUUUAUUCUUCUUGAUCUCCAAAACAGGUCUAUACAUGUCUCCAGAAAUAUUUUAUUUUAUGAGCACAUUUUUCCAUCUCAUUCAAUCACUACCAAUGACUCAAAUUCUUCUUUUUCACUUCCUUAGGGUUCUACGGUUCCUUUUUCUGAUAUAUUUCCUUCUUCCUCCAUCUCUUCUGCUAGUCAUCCUUCUUCUUCUGUUGUUCCUUCUUCUUCUCCUCUUCCUUCCAUCAGACAUUCUGAUAAACCCAUUUUAUAUAGAUAUUUUAGGGUAGUUUUGCAUCCA